rnacentral:rRNA from 1 species
UACGGGGGGGGCAAGCGUUGUUCGGAAUUACUGGGCGUAAAGGGCUCGUAGGCGGCCAACUAAGUCAGACGUGAAAUCCCUCGGCUUAACCGGGGAACUGCGUCUGAUACUGGAUGGCUUGAGUUUGGGGAGAGGGAUGCGGAAUUCCAGGUGUAGCGGUGAAUGCGUAGAUAAUCGGGAGGAACACCAGUGGCGAAGGCGACUUCCUGGCCUGUUCUUGACGCUGAGGCGCGAAAGCUAGGGGAGCAAACGGG